rnacentral:rRNA from 1 species
AUUGAACGCUGGCGGCAUGCCUUACACAUGCAAGUCGAACGGCAGCACGGGUGCUUGCACCUGGUGGCGAGUGGCGAACGGGUGAGUAAUACAUCGGAACAUGUCCUGUAGUGGGGGAUAGCCCGGCGAAAGCCGGAUUAAUACCGCAUACGAUCUACGGAUGAAAGCGGGGGACCUUCGGGCCUGGCGCUAUAGGGUUGGCCGAUAGCUGAUUAGCUAGUUGGUGGGGUAAAGGCCUACCAGGGCGACGAUCAGUAGCUGGUCUGAGAGGACGACCAGCCACACUGGGACUGAGACACGGCCCAGACUCCUACGGGAGGCAGCAGUGGGGAAUUUUGGACAAUGGGCGAAAGCCUGAUCCAGCAAUGCCGCGUGUGUGAAGAAGGCCUUCGGGUUGUAAAGCACUUUUGUCCGGAAAGAAAUCCUUGGCUCUAAUACAGUCGGGGGAUGACGGUACCGGAAGAAUAAGCACCGGCUAACUACGUG